CUACGGGUCGCACCAGUGGGGAAUAUUGCACAAUGGGGGGAACCCUGAUGCAGCAACGCCGCGUGGAGGAUGACACAUUUCGGUGCGUAAACUCCUUUUAUAUAAGAAGAUAAUGACGGUAUUAUAUGAAUAAGCACCGGCUAACUCCGUGCCAGCAGCCGCGGUAAUACGGGGGGUGCAAGCGUUACUCGAAAUCACUGGGCGUAAAGAGCAUGUAGGCUGGUUAGUAAGUUGGAAGUGAAAUCCUAUGGCUUAACCAUAGAACUGCUUCCAAAACUACUAACCUAGAAUAUGGGAGAGGUAGAUGGAAUUUCUGGUGUAGGGGUAAAAUCCGUAGAGAUCAGAAGGAAUACCGAUUGCGAAGGCGAUCUACUGGAACAUUAUUGACGCUCAGAUGCGAAAGCGUGGGGAGCAAACAGGAUUAGAUACCCGGGUAGUC
rnacentral:rRNA from 1 species